UACGAAGGGGCUAGCGUUGUUCGGAAUCACUGGGCGUAAAGGGCGCGUAGGCGGCUUUAUAAGUCGGGGGUGAAAGCCUGUGGCUCAACCACAGAAUUGCCUUCGAUACUGUAGAGCUUGAGACCGGAAGAGGUAAGUGGAACUGCGAGUGUAGAGGUGAAAUUCGUAGAUAUUCGCAAGAACACCAGUGGCGAAGGCGGCCUGCUGGGCUGGUUGCUGACGC
rnacentral:rRNA from 1 species